GGCGGACGGUACUCAUGCUCACCUGGCGCUAUCCCGUGAGUAGGUUGUGCUGAUUUGAAGAGCUUGCUCAGAUAUGACGAUGGACAUUGCAAAGAGUGGCGAACGGGUGAGUAACACGUGGGAAACCUACCUCUUAGCAGGGGAUAACAUUUGGAAACAGAUGCUAAUACCGUAUAACAAUAGCAACCGCAUGGUUGCUACUUAAAAGAUGGUUCUGCUAUCACUAAGAGAUGGUCCCGCGGUGCAUUAGUUAGUUGGUGAGGUAAUGGCUCACCAAGACGAUGAUGCAUAGCCGAGUUGAGAGACUGAUCGGCCACAAUGGGACUGAGACACGGCCCAUACUCCUACGGGAGGCAGCAGUAGGGAAUCUUCCACAAUGGGCGAAAGCCUGAUGGAGCAACGCCGCGUGUGUGAUGAAGGGUUUCGGCUCGUAAAACACUGUUGUAAGAGAAGAAUGACAUUGAGAGUAACUGUUCAAUGUGUGACGGUAUCUUACCAGAAAGGAACGGCUAAAUACGUGCCAGCAGCCGCGGUAAUACGUAUGUUCCAAGCGUUAUCCGGAUUUAUUGGGCGUAAAGCGAGCGCAGACGGUUAUUUAAGUCUGAAGUGAAAGCCCUCAGCUCAACUGAGGAAUUGCUUUGGAAACUGGAUGACUUGAGUGCAGUAGAGGAAAGUGGAACUCCAUGUGUAGCGGUGAAAUGCGUAGAUAUAUGGAAGAACACCAGUGGCGAAGGCGGCUUUCUGGACUGUAACUGACGUUGAGGCUCGAAAGUGUGGGUAGCAAACAGGAUUAGAUACCCUGGUAGUCCACACCGUAAACGAUGAGUGCUAGGUGUUUGAGGGUUUCCGCCCUUAAGUGCCGCAGCUAACGCAUUAAGCACUCCGCCUGGGGAGUACGACCGCAAGGUUGAAACUCACAGGAAUUGACGGGGACCCGCACAAGCGGUGGAGCAUGUGGGUUUAAUUCGAAGCAACGCGGAGAACCUUACCAGGUCUUGACAUCCCUUGACACUCCCCAGAUGGAGCGUUCCCUUCGGGGACAAGGGGAAAGGGGG
rnacentral:rRNA from 1 species